GGGAAGCAGAAUGGGGUGGAGUGACCAACACACACCCACAGACAAGAGUUAGAUUACUGCAGACUGGUCAAACCCAACCUCUCCUAAACCCUCCCGUCUACAGAAAUGUGAGCCCCAUUUGGAUGGUGCAAUACGGCGGACAUGUUACCGGAAAAAACAAGCGCAUGAAUCAUGAUGAUAGCGGAUUACUUUCAAAGCUUCUCGCUCACAGUGGCGAAUCAUCAGGUGGAGGUGGGGUAUCUACUGUCAGUCAGGGACAGGAGACUGACAGGCCUGGAGCUGCUGCUUUGGUGUUGGAAAAUGUUGUAAAUGACAUCUGGAAUUCCACAGCCUCCAGGACUCCAACUACGGAAGCAGCAUGGAGGCAAAACGUCUCAGGGCGCCGAUGAGGAAGGAUCACAAAUGAACAGGAGAAACUGGAAAGGGGGUGGAGCUCUGGCGGCAUCAUUGAUGGUCUAACCCAGAGGAGGUGGAGAGGACAGAGCAGAAGGAAAACCAUGAUCCCCACCCCUUAUACCCCUUAUACUGGACGAAGAUCUUUUCUAUUUUUGUGGAACGAAAUUCCACUUUAGCCCUUUAGUAGGUGGCUUACAUUUUUACCUAUUUAUUUGUGUUCAAAAUAAAUGCCCAUACU